UUUUGUUCAUCCUGUUAUCAUCAUGCUAUUACUUUGUUGUUAUCAUGUUUUCAUUCUAUUCAACGUUUAUGUUCUCUACAAUGAUGUCUGAGUAGUGAAUAGGUUUCUGAGGAUGGGUUAGAGUAGUUUAGGAUUCUCGGUAUGCUAGGUGGUUGAGUUUGAUAUAUAAAUCCCUUCUGGAUUAGUUUUUCUUAAUGCCUAUUGCUUUCUGAUCAACUGGAAUUUGAGCCCAGACAUUUCCGCGCCCAAAAGGUGUUCGAUGAAAUUUCUGAACCACUAAUUCCAGAGAUUCGUGGCUCUGUACCAAGGUAUUGGUUGCACAGAGCGUUUUGGCUUUAACUUGUUGAUUCGUAAUGCAUGUUAGGUUAGCUCUCGUCAAUGGUGAUGGAGUCUGGGACUGGUUUAACUUGAGGGUCUCUGUUGCGGUGGCACUUAGAUUUGGUUACCGAACUUGUUAUCUAGGGAUAAUUUAUUGAGCAUGUUAAUCACCUGUAAACUGAAGAAACGAAACUACUCAAUUACCCCAUCCUUGGGAAUUCUUUAUCUGAUUGAUUUUUUUGUUUACUCUACUGUUGUUUACUACGUCUUGUUACAUGUUGCUUAGUUUCUGCAAAUCUUUCCUGUUACUCGACCUGAUACUCGACCACCCAGUUGUCUGGCAACAGACUGUGCAGUCGAGUAUCUUUGUUUCAUUUACUGCCUGUUACUCGACCAGUCACUCGACCUCACCCAGUUCUCUGCAAAGAGCUUUGUUGGUAGAGUGUUUUAUUGUUUCUGCUUGAAUUUCUGUUUUCUGCAUGUUCACUUAGGACUCCUAGAACACGUCAAAACCUGUUAUUGCUUGGCUUGACUUAGUGACUUCUGAUCACAUCUUGAUUGUUAGCAUCACACCCAUUUGGAUUGACAAACUAAAAUACUACAACGACAUGAUUGGUGUUUAAGGAUAAUUGACUAAAACCUAUUAUCCAUUUGGCGCCUUUGCCAAUUGGGUGUUUGUUUGUUACAUUUAAGAUUUCAGACUUGCUUAGAUCAAGUUCUUUUUCAAUUUUCAUU
rnacentral:sRNA from 1 species